rnacentral:lncRNA from 1 species
GUUCUGUCCCUAUCUGUCACCUCUCUCCAGGUCAUGGUGACCACAGUGCUGCUGGAGAGGAAGAUGCUCCCCUCCUGUGGCCCCGGUCUGGGAUCUCUUGAGUGAAUAUGGCCUUGGGAACCUCUGGUUCUUGAGACUUCAGAGAAGAGUGCAGAAAAUUCUUGCUUGGUCCCUCAUGCCUCAUGGGCCAGAGAUAGAAAAGCGACGGGCAUCACCAGACUUUAUAGAUGUCUAGCCAGGGAUUUAGCUCAGUGGCGCCACGCCUGCCUCGAAACCACAAGGUCCUAAGUUCCAUCCCUGGUACCAAAAACAAAACAAAAUAAAGAUGUUGGCU